UAGAGUAAUAUUUUGGUUUGAUACUGCAUAAACAUGUUUCAUAAUCUGUGUAAUAGCAAACUUGAUACUUCCUGAAUGUGUCUGUCAUUAGCACACCCUUUUCUGUUAGAAGAGAGAAAAAAAUAUUUUCUUCCUGUUCAUAAUCAAGGAAAUCAUUAAACUGAGAAAACUCGUUGCCCUCAGUUAUAUACUGUCUUUCACUUUUCUUUUCACCUGUCUUCUUUUCAUCUUCUCAUGCAGAGAUGGAGCAAAGAAACCGUCAUACUCCAAAUGGUGGUGUUUAACCUCAAGUUUGUUUUAAAUAUACCUGCCUGACUCUGACCAGAGAUCAAAGUGAACAUCACAAAUAACGGGACAAAUUGACAUUAUGUGUCUUCUGAUAUGACGCUCUGAGAGGAACACAGCACCAUAAGGUGGUAUCUGUGAUAUCUCUGGCCAACCAUAAGGAAACAAUUACACAAACCCAAACUGAGAAGCCUGCAAAAUAACUGGCAUGAAAUCUUCAAAAAUAUUGAGAUCAUGAAAGGUAAACUGGCCUCAAAAAAGUGGAUAAUAUUCUAACAUGGGAAUGCAAAACCAUCAUGCCUGGAAGAUCACUGCAUCAAGG